UCUCAUUCUCAGAGGGUCUCGGAUCACAUCGUGUCUCACCUUCUCGCCCGCUAUGCAGCCACUUUGUUAUAUUGCUUUUAUUCUCCUGUGCAGUGUCCAUUUCCUCUCCGCGGAGGUUUCCACACUGUGCAGUGAGACACAAUAUGCCUGGCCGGUGGACGCAGCCAGGCACUGCUGUAAUAAGUGCCCACCGGGUCAGCGUAUGGCCCGUCGUAGUCUCGACUCUUGUAAAAUUACGUGUGAGACUUGUUUGACAGGCCGAUACCUUGAUUCCUACAAUGUGGAUAUGACUUGCAGUGUUUGCAAAAAUUGCAAAAAACCAAACAUGGAGUAUACGUCACCCUGCACUAGCGCUCACGACGCUGUGUGCAGAUGUAAAGCAGGCUACAGAUGCAAAGACCAACCCUGCACAGAGUGUGUGUCGAUACUAACUACCACCAAACCCACACUCCCUAUAUGCACUACAACACGUGAAGCCCUCACGGCGAUUGCACCCUCUAAACCAGUCACAGGUACAGUGUGGCUCCUGAUGAUAACUGCCUGCCUGUGUACAGGAAUUGCAUUUGUUGUUGUAACAACAGUAAAGUCCAUCAGGUCCAAGAACGGAUAUAUUUUGACUGAAAAACCAGCAACAGCAUCUGAGGACGAGGGGGUAUCCAAGCCUGUCCAGGAAGUGUGUGGGAAAUGUGACCAACCUAUAGAUGUAUGA
rnacentral:lncRNA from 1 species